GGCGGACGGGUGAGUAACACGUGGGAACCUACCUAGCAGUACGGAAUAACUGUGGGAAACUGCAGCUAAUACCGUAUACGCCCCGAGGGGGAAAGAUUUAUCGCUGUUGGAUGGGCCCGCGUCCGAUUAGCUUGUUGGCGGGGUAACGGCCCACCAAGGCGACGAUCGGUAGCUGGUCUGAGAGGAUGAUCAGCCACACUGGGACUGAGACACGGCCCAGACUCCUACGGGAGGCAGCAGUGGGGAAUAUUGGACAAUGGGGGAAACCCUGAUCCAGCCAUGCCGCGUGAGUGAAGAAGGCCUUAGGGUUGUAAAACUCUUUCACCGGGGACGAUGAUGACGGUACCCGGAGAAGAAGCCCCGGCUAACUCCGUGCCAGCAGCCGCGGUAAUACGGAGGGGGCUAGCGUUGUUCGGAAUUACUGGGCGUAAAGCGCGCGUAGGCGGUUUGCCAAGUCAGGCGUGAAAGCCCCAGGCUCAACCCGGGAAUUGCGCUUGAUACUGACUGACUAGAGGCCGGGAGAGGGUAGUGGAAUUCC
rnacentral:rRNA from 1 species